GGAGAGGUGGCCGAGCGGCCUAAGGCGGCGGUCUUGAAAACCGCUAUGGGGCAACCCAUCGGGGGUUCGAAUCCCUCCCUCUCCGCCA
rnacentral:tRNA from 1 species